GCCCCAUAACUUCGGGAGAAGGGGUGCUUCCUCAGAAAAGGGGUCUAGUGACGAGGCCCAGGUAAUUGUUUACCAAAAACACAGGUCUCCACAAAAUCGUAAGACCAUGUAUGGGGGCUGACGCCUGCCCAGUGUCAGAAAGAAAAGAAUGUUGGUGACCUGAUGACAGGGGA
rnacentral:rRNA from 1 species